rnacentral:rRNA from 1 species
GGAAUUGACGGGACCCGCACAAGCAGCGGAGCAUGUGGUCUAAUUCGAAGCAACGCGAAGAACCUUACCAGAUCUUGACAUCCAAUUGACCAUCUUUUAAUCGAGAUUUUGCCUUCGGGUACAAUUGAGACAGGUGGUGCAUGGUUGUCGUCAGCUCGUGUCGUGAGAUGUUGGGUUAAGUCCCGCAACGAGCGCAACCCUUGUGUUUAGUUGCAAACAGGUCAAGCUGUGCACUCUAGACAGACUGCCGUGGACAACACGGAGGAAGGUGGGGAUGACGUCAAAUCAUCAUGCCCCUUAUGAUCUGGGCUACACACGUGCUACAAUGGCCGGUACAACGGGCAGCGAAGGAGCGAUCCGGAGCGAAUCCUAAAAAGCCGGUCCCAGUUCGGAUUGCAGGCUGAAACUCGCCUACAUGAAGUUGGAGUUGCUAGUAAUCGCGAAUCAGAAUGUCGCGGUGAAUGCGUUCCCGGGUCUU